rnacentral:lncRNA from 1 species
GAAGAUGUGACUGUUGUCCCAUGCAUCUCAGUCGUGAAAUAAUUGUACUUUCAAAUCAUGAAGCCACAUGCAUAAUUGUCACAUAAAAUAACACCACUUUUUAAACAUAACCAUAAUGUUUUUCUCAUCAAGUAACCCACACACAACCAAGAUAUGUGUAGGUUCAGAAUGCUUGCCUUCCAAGUCUAGAGAGGUAGGUUGCACUCCAAAC